ensembl:lncRNA
CAUGGUGUUUUACUGUAGACAUGGUGUUUUACUGUAGACAUGGUGUUUUAAUGUAGACAUUGUGUUCUUUACUGUAGUCAUGGUGUUCUUCACUGUAGACAUGGUGUUCUUUACUGUAGGCAUGGUGUUCUUUACUGGAGGCAUGGUGUUCUUUACUGUAGGCAUGGUGUUUUACUGUAGGCAUGGUGUGUUUUACUGUAGGCAUGGUGUUCUUUACUGUAGGCAUGGUGUUUUACUGUAGGCAUGGUGUUCUUUACUGUAGACAUGGUGUUCUUUACUGUAGACAAGGUGUUUUACUCUAGACAUGGUGUUCUUUACUGUAGGCAUGGUGUUCUUUACUGUAGGCAUGGUGUUUUACUGUAGGCAUUGUGUUCUUUACUGUAGGCAUGGUGUUCUUUACUGUAGGCAUUGUGUUUUACUGUAGGCAUGGUGUUCUUUACUGUAGAAAUGGUGAUCUUUACUGUAGGCAUGGUGUUUUACUGUAGGCAUGGUGUUUUACUGUAGGCAUGGUGUACUUUACUGUGGGCAUGAUGUUUUACUGUAGGCAUGGUGUUCUUUACUGUAGGCAUGGUGUUUUACUGUAGGCAUGGUGUUCUUUACUGUAGGCAUGGUGUUCUUUACUGUAGGCAUGGUGUUCUUUACUGUAGGCAUGGUGUUCUUUACUGUAGACAUGGUGUUUUACUGUAGACAUGGUGUUUUAAUGUAGACAUUGUGUUCUUUACUGUAGUCAUGGUGUUCUUCACUGUAGACAUGGUUUUUCUUUACUGUAGGCAUGGUGUUCUUUACUGGAGGCAUGGUGUUCUUUACUGUAGGCAUGGUGUUUUACUGUAGGCAUGGUGUGUUUUACUGUAGGCAUGGUGUUCUUUACUGUAGGCAUGGUGUUUUACUGUAGGCAUUGUGUUCUUUACUGUAGGCAUGGUGUUCUUUACUGUAGGCAUUGUGUUUUACUGUAGGCAUGGUGUUCUUUACUGUAGAAAUGGUGAUCUUUACUGUAGGCAUGGUGUUUUACUGUAGGCAUGGUGUUUUACUGUAGGCAUGGUGUACUUUACUGUGGGCAUGAUGUUUUACUGUAGGCAUGGUGUUCUUUACUGUAGGCAUGGUGUUUUACUGUAGGCAUGGUGUUCUUUACUGUAGGCAUGGUGUUCUUUACUGUAGGC